rnacentral:misc_RNA from 1 species
GAUGAAGAACGUAGCGAAAUGCGAUACUUGGUGUGAAUAGCAGAAUCCCGUGAACCAUCGAGUCUUUGAACGCAAGUUGCGCCCGAAGCCAUUAGGCCGAGGGCACGCCUGCCUGGGCGUCACACGUCGUUGCCCCCCCAUCUAAUCCUUCGGGAUUGCGGGGGGCGGAUGAUGGCCUCCCGUGCGCCUCGUCGCGCGGUUGGCAUAAAUGCCAAGUCCUCGGCGACGCACGCCACGACAAUCGGUGGUUGCGAAACCUCGGUUGCCCGUCGUGUGCGGUCGUCGCGCAUCGAGGGCUCGAAAAAAUUGCCGGGCUCCGGCUCGACUUUCAACGCGACCCCAGGUCAGGCGGGGUUACCCGCUGAAUUUAAGCAUAUCAAUAAGCGGAGGA